rnacentral:rRNA from 1 species
AAAGUGACGGUACCUGCAGAAGAAGCACCGGCUAACUACGUGCCAGCAGCCGCGGUAAUACGUAGGGUGCGAGCGUUAUCCGGAAUUAUUGGGCGUAAAGAGCUCGUAGGCGGUUUGUCGCGUCUGUCUUAAAAGUUCGGGGCUUAACCCCGUGAUGGGAUGGAAACUGCCAAUCUAGAGUAUCGGAGAGGAAAGUGGAAUUCCUAGUGUAGUGGCGAGGAGAUUCCGUAAGUAGUGGCGAGGGGAUUCCGUAAGUAGUGGCGAGGAGAUUCCGAUAAGUAGUGGCGAGGAGAUUCCGUAAGUAGUGGCGAGGAGAUUCCGUAAGUAGUGGCGAGGGGAUUCCGUAAGUAGUGGCGAGGAGAUUCCGUAAGUAGUGGCGAGGAGAUUCCGUAAGUAGUGGCAGGGGAUUCCGUAAGUAGUGGCAGGUCGUGGGAGG